rnacentral:rRNA from 1 species
GUGUCAGCCGCCGCGGUAAUACAUGGGGUGCAAACGUUGCUCGGAAUUAUUGGGCGUAAAGCGCGCGUAGGCGGUUAUCUAAGUUGGAUGUGAAAGCCCUCGGCUUAACUGAGGAAGUGCACCCAAAACUGGAUAGCUGGAGUACGAAAGAGGGUCGCGGAAUUCCCGGUGUAGAGGUGAAAUUCGUAGAUAUCGGGAGGAACACCGGUGGCGAAGGCGGCGACCUGGGUCGAGACUGACGCUGAGGCGCGAAAGCGUGGGGAGCAAACAGGAUUAGAAACCCCCGUAGUCC